GGGCCCGUAGUCGAAUGGCCAAGACGCCACUCUCACACAGUGGAGACUGCCGGUUCGAUUCCGGCCGGGCCCA
rnacentral:tRNA from 1 species